rnacentral:rRNA from 1 species
CCUACGGGAGACAGCAGUGCGGCAUAUUGGUCAAUGGGCUUACGCCUGAACCAGCCAAGUCGCGUGAGGGAAGACUGCCCUAUGGGUUGUCAACCUCUUUUGUCAGGGAGCAACGCCGGCUACGUGUAGCCGGACUGAGAGUACCUGAAGACAAAGCAUCGGCUAACUCCGUGCCAGCAGCCGCCGGAAUACGGGGGAUGCGAUCGUUAUCCGGAUUGCUGGGGUUUACAGGGUGCGUAGGCGGAAUGCCAAGUCCGCGGUAAAAUCGCGGGGCUCAACCUCGCUCCGCCGUUGAAACUGGCGUUCUUGAGUGGGCGAGAAGUAUGCGGAAGGCGUGGUGUAGCGGUGAAAUGCAUAGAUAUCACGCAGAACUCCGAUUGCGAAGGCAGCAUACCGGCGCCCAACUGACGCUGAAGCACGAAAGCGUGGGUAUCGAACAGGAUUAGAUACCCUUGUAGUC